CAGUAGCCACGGGAAUACGAAGGGUGCAAGCGUUAAUCGGAAUUACUGGGCGUAAAGCGUGCGUAGGCGGUGAGUUAAGUCUGCUGUGAAAUCCCCGGGCUCAACCUGGGAAUGGCAGUGGAUACUGGCUCGCUAGAGUGUGUCAGAGGAUGGUGGAAUUCCCGGUGUAGCGGUGAAAUGCGUAGAGAUCGGGAGGAACAUCAGUGGCGAAGGCGGCCAUCCGGGACAACACUGACGCUGAGGCACGAAAGCGUGGGGAGCAAACAGGAUUAGAUACCCCCGUAGUCCCUGUCUCUUAUAU
rnacentral:rRNA from 1 species